AUACGUAGGGGGCGAGCGUUGUCCGGAAUGAUUGGGCGUAAAGGGCGCGUAGGCGGCCCGUUAAGUCUGGAGUGAAAGUCCUGCUUUCAAGGUGGGAAUUGCUUUGGAUACUGGCGGGCUUGAGUACAGGAGAGGAAAGAGGAAUUACCGGGGUUGCGGGGGAAAGCGCAGAGAACGGUAGGAACACCAGUGGCGAAGGCGGCUUUCUGGACUGAAACUGACGCUGAGGCGCGAAAGCGUGGGGAGCAAACAGGAUUAGAUACCCUGGUAGUCCACGCUGUAAACGAUGAAUGCUAGGUGUAGGAGGUAUCGACCCCUUCUGUGCCGGAGUCAACACAAUAAGCAUUCCGCCUGGGGAGUACGGCCGCAAGGUUGAAACUCAAAUGAAUUGACGGGA
rnacentral:rRNA from 1 species